GAUGAACGCUGGCGGCGUGCCUAAUACAUGCAAGUCGAGCGAACGGACGAGAAGCUUGCUUCUCUGAUGUUAGCGGCGGACGGGUGAGUAACACGUGGAUAACCUACCUAUAAGACUGGGAUAACUUCGGGAAACCGUAGCUAAUACCGGAUAAUAUUUUGAACCGCAUGGUUCAAAAGUGAAAGACGGUCUUGCUGUCACUUAUAGAUGGAUCCGCGCUGCAUUAGCUAGUUGGUAAGGUAACGGCUUACCAAGGCAACGAUGCAUAGCCGACCUGAGAGGGUGAUCGGCCACACUGGAACUGAGACACGGUCCAGACUCCUACGGGAGGCAGCAGUAGGGAAUCUUCCGCAAUGGGCGAAAGCCUGACGGAGCAACGCCGCGUGAGUGAUGAAGGUCUUCGGAUCGUAAAACUCUGUUAUUCGGGAAGAACAUAUGUGUAAGUAACUGUGCACAUCUUGACGGUACCUAAUCAGAAAGCCACGGCUAACUACGUG
rnacentral:rRNA from 1 species